AGCUUUGCGCAGUGGCAGUAUCGUAACCAAUGAGGUUUAUCCGAGGCGUGAUGAUUGCUCAUUGGAAAUACAUUCUUCAUUUAUUUGCAUUUCAUCUUUAAGA
rnacentral:snRNA from 1 species